AUUGAACGCUGGCGGCAGGCCUAACACAUGCAAGUCGAGCGGAUGAAGGGAGCUUGCUCCUGGAUUCAGCGGCGGACGGGUGAGUAAUGCCUAGGAAUCUGCCUGGUAGUGGGGGAUAACGUCCGGAAACGGGCGCUAAUACCGCAUACGUCCUGAGGGAGAAAGUGGGGGAUCUUCGGACCUCACGCUAUCAGAUGAGCCUAGGUCGGAUUAGCUAGUUGGUGGGGUAAAGGCCUACCAAGGCGACGAUCCGUAACUGGGCUGAGAGGAUGAUCAGUCACACUGGAACUGAGACACGGUCCAGACUACUACGGGAGGCAGCAGUGGGGAAUAUUGGACAAUGGGCGAAAGCCUGAUCCAGCCAUGCCGCGUGUGUGAAGAAGGUCUUCGGAUUGUAAAGCACUUUAAGUUGGGAGGAAGGGCAGUAAGUUAAUACCUUGCUGUUUUGACGGUACCAACAGAAUAAGCACCGGCUAACUUCGUG
rnacentral:rRNA from 1 species